rnacentral:rRNA from 1 species
GACAGAGGAUGCAAGCGUUGUUCGGAAUUACUGGGCGUAAAGCGAACGUAGGUGGUUUUGUGUGUCUGGUGUGAAAGCCCACGGCUCAACCGUGGAAGUGCGCCAGAAACUGCAAAACUGGAGUGUAGGAGAGGAUGGUAGAAUUCUCAGUGUAGAGGUGAAAUUCGUAGAUACUGGGAGGAACACCGGUGGCGAAGGCGACCAUCUGGACUAUAACUGACACUGAUGUUCGAAAGCGUGGGUAGCAAACAGG